AGUGGGAUAGCUGGGUCAAAUGGUUGUUUUAUUCCCAGUUUUCUAAGGAAUCUCCACACUGCUUUCUAGAUUAGUUGCAACAAUUUGCAGUCCCACCAGCAAU
rnacentral:pre_miRNA from 1 species